CGGGUGAGUAAUGUCUCGGGAACUGCCUGAUGGAGGGGGAUAACUACUGGAAACGGUAGCUAAUACCGAAUAACGUCACAAGACCAAAGAGGGGGACCUUCGGGCCUCUUGCCAUCGGAUGUGCCCAGAUGGGAUUAGCUAGUAGGUGGGGUAAUGGCUCACCUAGGCGACGAUCCCUAGCUGGUCUGAGAGGAUGACCAGCCACACUGGAACUGAGACACGGUCCAGACUCCUACGGGAGGCAGCAGUGGGGAAUAUUGCACAAUGGGCGCAAGCCUGAUGCAGCCAUGCCGCGUGUGUGAAGAAGGCCUUCGGGUUGUAAAGCACUUUCAGCGAGGAGGAAGGUGGUGAACUUAAUACGUUCAUCCAUUGACGUUACUCGCAGAAGAAGCACCGGCUAACUCCGUGCCAGCAGCCGCGGUAAUACGGAGGGUGCAAGCGUUAAUCGGAAUUACUGGGCGUAAAGCGCACGCAGGCGGUUUGUUAAGUCAGAUGUGAAAUCCCCGGGCUCAACCUGGGAACUGCAUUUGAAACUGGCAAGCUAGAGUCUCGUAGAGGGGGGUAGAAUUCCAGGUGUAGCGGUGAAAUGCGUAGAGAUCUGGAGGAAUACCGGUGGCGAAGGCGGCCCCCUGGACGAAGACUGACGCUCAGGUGCGAAAGCGUGCGGAGCAAACAAGAUUAGAUACCCUGGUAGUCCACGCUGUAAACGAUGU
rnacentral:rRNA from 1 species